rfam:Anopheles dirus strain WRAIR2 unplaced genomic scaffold supercont1.2, whole genome shotgun sequence.
UGUGGGUCUAAAACAAAAAGGGUAGAACGACACUGAUAGCAUUGCAUAGGGAGAAAAAAAACAAAAUGGUACAAAUUGAACGGAAAAUAAAAACAUGUUAUUGCUAGAAUUUAUCGUUUAGCGGAAUGUCUUCAUCCACGGUUUCACGGACAUUAACGCAGCACGGAACG